GAGGAAGGGUCAUAGCUCAGUGGUAGAGCAUCUGAUCUGCAGAUUUGCAGAAAGUCCUAGGAUUAAGCCCCAGUUUCUUCA